rfam:Bombyx mori DNA, contig: Bm_scaf4_contig3840, strain: p50T/Dazao, build 2, whole genome shotgun sequence.
GUAACUCAAAUUUGCACGGAGUUGAAACGUAUGCCUACGUAUGCCGCUAGGGGCGCUGUUCCAACUGCAUACAAAUUUGAGUUA